UGGGGAAUUUUGGACAAUGGGCGCAAGCCUGAUCCAGCCAUGCCGCGUGCGGGAAGAAGGCCUUCGGGUUGUAAACCGCUUUUGUCAGGGAAGAAAUCUUCUGAGUUAAUACCUCGGGAAGGAUGACGGUACCUGAAGAAUAAGCACCGGCUAACUACGUGCCAGCAGCCGCGGUAAUACGUAGGGUGCAAGCGUUAAUCGGAAUUACUGGGCGUAAAGCGUGCGCAGGCGGUUUUGUAAGACAGAGGUGAAAUCCCCGGGCUCAACCUGGGAACUGCCUUUGUGACUGCAAGGCUUGAGUGCGGCAGAGGGGGGAUGGAAUUCCGCGUGUAGCAGUGAAAUGCGUAGAUAUGCGGAGGAACACCGUGGCGAAGGCAAUCCCCUGGGCCUGCACUGACGCUCAUGCACGAAAGCGUGGGGAGCAAAACAGGAUUAGAUACCCCUGGUAGUCCACGCCCUAAAACGAUGUCAACUGGUUGUU
rnacentral:rRNA from 1 species